CAGAUGGGUGACGUCACGGAUACUACGUCCAUUAUUCAUACAGUCGAUGACUCAAACAGGCCGGACAGGCAUUUCCUGUGGGUGGGACCUGAGAGCAGAGACAUUCUUGGGCCAGGCACCUCCACUUCCUGUCUCUGUUAACGUUGCAGUGAAAGACACACUGUCUGGACCUGCUGUUACUUUACACUUUACUUGAAGCUGUUUUCCAUCUGUAGAUCAAAUUCCCAUUCAAGGUUUACUAAUGCUGCAUGUAAAUAAAAGUGAGACGCUAAAGUCAAAGAGCCCAGAUAAAGGAGGGAAAAUAACCUGUGAACAAAUGUUGUUAUUAUGUUAGACAAAGAGAUAUUUCAGCUCAGAAAAAUACUUUGGGAUAUGGAACCAUGUAUUGAUAUAAUGACAGAGGAUUUCCUUUGAAAAAUAGACUACUGUCUGUGUAAAAUACCAAUACUGCUAACACUGAAAUUCUCCAAUUUUGCCCGCCAAAGCUGACAGAGUAUGAGGACAUAGUUGAAUAAAUAUUUGUUAAUGGAAGAGGUGACUCCCUUCCAUUAACUUUCCACAUCCUAGUUCAGCAGCAUAUGCCUGUAGUUCUGCUGAAGGUCACUGAUUGCUAGAUUGGUGACUAGGUCCCCUCAGUGAACAGUCCCUAGUAUGUUCAAUUCAAUUCCACUCAAUUCAAUUCAAAAAACUUUAUUUGUCCCCGGUUGGCAAUUUAUGUAACUGUUCAUUUGUUUAAUGACAACUUAUAUGAAUAAAAAUAAAAUAAUUCAUAAA